AAGUGUUACAGCUUUUUAAAAGAAUUUAUCUAGCAGGUUUUCUGUUUUCACUAGAAAAUCACC
ensembl:snRNA U7 U7 small nuclear RNA